rnacentral:rRNA from 1 species
GACAGAGGUGCCGAGCGUUAGGCGGAAUCACUGGGCUUAAAGCGUGUGUAGGCGGACUGAUAAGUACCUUGUGAAAUCCCACGGCUCAACCGUGGAACUGCUGGGUAUACUGCCUGUCUUGAGCCAGCCAGGGGCAGUCGGAACAGACGGUGGAGCGGUGAAAUGCGUAGAUAUCGUCUGGAACGCCAAAGGUGAAAACAGACUGCUGGGGCUGUGCUGACGCUGAGACACGAAAGCCAGGGGAGCGAACGGG